rnacentral:rRNA from 1 species
AGCAUAUCAAUAAGCGGAGGAAAAGAAACCAACAGGGAUUGCCCCAGUAACGGCGAGUGAAGCGGCAACAGCUCAAAUUUGAAAUCUGGCCCCCAGGGUCCGAGUUGUAAUUUGCAGAGGAUGAUUUUGGCGAGGUGCCUUCCGAGUUCCCUGGAACGGGACGCCACAGAGGGUGAGAGCCCCGUCUGGUUGGACGCCGAGCCUAUGUAAAUCUCCUUCGACGAGUCGAGUAGUUUGGGAAUGCUGCUCUAAAUGGGAGGUAUAUGUCUUCUAAAGCUAAAUAUUGGCCAGAGACCGAUAGCGCACAAGUAGAGUGAUCGAAAGAUGAAAAGCACUUUGAAAAGAGGGUUAAAUAGUACGUGAAAUUGUUGAAAGGGAAGCGCUCAUGACCAGACUUGGGCCCGGUGAAUCAUCCAGCGUUCUCGCUGGUGCACUUUGCCGGGCUCAGGCCAGCAUCAGUUUGCCCCGGGGGAUAAAGGCUUUGGGAAUGUGGCUCCUCCGGGAGUGUUAUAGCCCAUUGCAUAAUAUCCUGGGGCGGACUGAGGUUCGCGCAUCUGCAAGGAUGCUGGCGUAAUGGUCAUCAGCGACCCGUCUUGAAACACGGACCAAGGAGUCGUCUUCGUAUGCGAGUGUUCGGGUGUAAAACCCCUACGCGUAAUGAAAGUGAACGCAGGUGAGAGCUUCGGCGCAUCAUCGACCGAUCCUGAUGUUCUCGGAUGGAUUUGAGUAAGAGCAUACGGGGCCGGACCCGAAAGAAGGUGAACUAUGCCUGUAUAGGGUGAAGCCAGAGGAAACUCUGGUGGAGGCUCGCAGCGGUUCUGACGUGCAAAUCGAUCGUCAAAUAUGGGCAUGGGGGGCGAAAGACUAAUCGAACCUUCUAGUAGCUGGUUUCCGCGA